rnacentral:rRNA from 1 species
UACGUAGGGUGCGAGCGUUAAUCGGAAUUACUGGGCGUAAAGCGUGCGUAGGCGGUUCGUUAAGUUCGUUGCGAAAGCCCCGGGCUCAACCUGGGAAUGGCAAUGGAAACUGGCGGGCUGGAGUAUGGCAGAGGGGGUGGAAUUCCGCGUGUAGCAGUGAAAUGCGUAGAGAUGCGGAGGAACACCGAUGGCGAAGGCAGCCCCCUGGGCCAAUACUGACGCUCAGGCACGGAAAGCGUGGGGAGCAAACGGG